rnacentral:rRNA from 1 species
AGAGUUUGAUCCUGGCUCAGGAUGAACGCUGGCGGUAUGCGUAACACAUGCAAGUCGAACGAAGUUUUUCGGAACUUAGUGGCGGACGGGUGAGUAACGCGUGAGAAUCUGCCUUCAGGUUCGGGACAACCACUGGAAACGGUGGCUAAUACCGAAUGUGCAGCAAUGUGAAAAAUUUAUUGCCUGAAGAUGAGCUCGCGUCUGAUUAGCUAGUAGGUGUGGUAAGAGCGCACCUAGGCGACGAUCAGUAGCUGGUCUGAGAGGAUGAUCAGCCACACUGGGACUGAGACACGGCCCAGACUCCUACGGGAGGCAGCAGUGGGGAAUUUUCCGCAAUGGGCGNAAAGCCUGACGGAGCAAGACCGCGUGAGGGAGGAAGGCUCUUGGGUUGUAAACCUCUUUUGUCAGGGAAGAACACAAUGACGGUACCUGAAGAAUCAGCAUCGGCUAACUCCGUGCCAGCAGCCGCGGUAAUACGGGGGAUGCAAGCGUUAUCCGGAAUUAUUGGGCGUAAAGCGUCCGCAGGUGGCUAAUCAAGUCUGCUGUCAAAGAUUGGGGCUUAACCCCAAAAAGGCAGUGGAAACUGAGAAGCUAGAGUGCAGUAGGGGUAGAGGGAAUUCCCGGUGUAGCGGUGAAAUGCGUAGAGAUCGGGAAGAACAUCGGUGGCGAAAGCGCUCUACUGGACUGCAACUGACACUCAGGGACGAAAGCUAGGGGAGCGAAUGGGAUUAGAUACCCCCGUAGUCC